GGGAUCUCCAUCGCCAUCUCCGUUCGACGGAGGAGCCAUGCCCGUCCGCGCAUGGGCCAACCCAACCUGCAUGACGGACUCAUGCGGCCGGCCCGCCCCAGCCCAAGCCAGGCCAAUUUCACGCAGGAUCAGUCGCAACGACGAACCACCGGUUGCCACACCCGGCCCAGCACAGGCGUAGGGUUUAUUGGCAUCUGUCUCCUGUCGCGCCGGCCACCACAGCGCAGAAGAACACAGCACCCGCCUGCCUCGCCGCCGCAAUGGCCGCCGCCGCCUCCGCUGCGAGAUCCUUCCUCCGGUCCAGCGGCUCAUCGUCUCUCCGCAGCGCGGUGGCCAGAGCCGCCUCGCGUGCGGGACCGGGACCGGCUCCGCUGCCGAGGCGGAUGCCCACCUCUGCCCCCCGUGUACUCCUAAGGUCGCCGGUGGAAAUGAGCAGCGUGUGUCUGGAGUCCUUGAUGCCCAUGCACAGCGCCACGGCUUCAGCGCUCAUGACGUCGCUUCUCGCCGCCCCGGCUUGCAAGGGAUUCGGUUGGCUAUCAGAAGGUCAAGCUGAAACUAGAUGAACUUCAUGGGACCCAAAAGGUGAACACUUUUUAUAGAUCCCACCAAUAAUGACUGUUGAUGGCUAGAUUCCAUCACUAUUUCACGCGUCGGAAUGAUUUGUGGAAAGAAGAGCCCACUAUCUUCAUCUUAUGGAACUUGCCUUAAAGUCAUCUAUUGACUAUUGUGCACUUGCACAUUAGCAUGUACAAUAUGGAACAAAAGAAGUCUGCAUUUUCAUGAGCCAUACAUUGUAUUGAGCCACAUAUUUUUAUUGUUCCUUUUGGAACUGCAAAAUGCACCUAGCGCUGCUGUGCCACGAUCGUUGUGCCGUGUCUAAGAUUCCCAUUGUCACUUUGAGCGAUCUUUUAUUGAAGUUCUGGACCUUUUGGCAAUAUGAGAGAUUUCUUUCCUGGGUCGACUUUUGCCUAUGGUUUGCUGAAGUCGAACUAUUGAUGGGUUUACAAAUAGCGUUUAUAAAUUUGAAUACAACGUCAUCAUUAAUUACAAAUUUGAGGAAAAAAAGAGACUGAUUCUUUUGUAUUGGUCCAGCUGGUAAUGAUGACGUGUGACGGUCUCUAGAUGGGAAUUAGCAGAUUAUUAUCCCGUCACCUCAGAUCUUCAGGCCUGUGAUUAGUGCGAUGGAGGUCAACUUGGAUGAAGACUAGACUGCUAUUUAUUUUGCCAUCUCUGUUGCCUUGGUUUUGCCCAUUAUAAAUGGAACAUAGAGCAAUGUAGCUUUCGUCGCUGUUAAUUUAUAUGAUGUUAUUCUAGAGCUUGAGCCCAGAUUAUUGUGUUUCUAUUUGUAGAUGGAUGAUUUGUCGUUACUGGAGAUCUGCAGUGAUGGUAUCUUGUCUGGAUUAUGGAUACCUCGUGAAUUUAAAGUACUUGGUUGGCGUCUCAGUUAACAUGUUUUGUGCUCUGGGAUUGCAGUUUGUAUGAAAUUUGCAGAAUUGAUCCUGAGAUUUAUUUUGGCUGGUUAGCUGUCAAAAAGACUUUGGUCUUGACGACUUGCCUGAUCAAGUAGAUCUGGAAUGAAUAAACUUAAUAGAAGGGUUUUCACACCUUUUGCGUUUUA